AAUUUCGUACUGGAACUGAACACCCAAGUGCGCGCGCACACUUUUUUUUAUACUACAAAAAUGACAGGGUAGCCAACUCUGCUGACACUGACGACAGAUCAAUAAAAACUAUGCUGUCUGAUCCAUAUAAUCAGCCUGCGAAAAGAGGAAACACAAAUACAAUAUGACUACCAUCUAACCUGGAGGAGAAACGAUUGUCCAAAAACACAGAAAAGGGGCACUGACCCAGUGAAUAUGCACCGGGGAUAUGGCUGAUGUUCUCCCGCUGGUGCUAAUAAGAUAUGCCACUGUUCCCUCAAGACUAUUCAAGCGAUCGACUCACUGAUGCAUGAAGAUGAUGAGCUAUCAGCAAAGGCCAUCUGGAGUCCCAAGCAUCCCCUCAAACGUCAUGCGGGGGUGCCAACUUCUUGCCAGGGACCAGGCACAUAUUUGAGUUUUGAUGACAAUGACCCAAAACACACUGCCACCCGGGUUUGCAUUGCAAAUGAGGGCAUAAACUGGGUCAAGACUCCGCAGAGUAAGUU